ACUAGUAGAAGGUCUGUGUUGUGAUGACGCAAGAAUAGUCGUUGGAGGGAGAAUAAAAGCUGUUGUUUUGGAUUUGUUGAAGAUGAGAUGGAUUUUGUUUGAAAUAAAUGUUCUCUGUUCAUAGAGUUGCUGCAUAAUUCUUUGAUACUUCCCUUACUGUACAUAAUUUCCAACUAUGCCUCCAAAGAUCCCGGCAACAAUGAAUCUUAAACAGUUUAUGCUCCGUCAGAAAGUUCUGAAACUGUAUCGAGACAUAUUACGGGAAAUACGCAGAGUACCGGAUGAAGGAAGUAAAGCAGAACUUCGCCUUUGGGCUAGAAGUGACUUUAGAAAGUACCAAAAUGAGAAAGAUGAGUACGCUAUAAAGAUGCUGAUCUUCAAUGGUGAGAGAUCCUUAAAGGAACUGAAGCAAUCCAUUGAGUUGAGCAGUGCAAAGAAUAAUUAAAAGUAGCAUGUGAUGUUAAUGGCACAUGAUUGCUGUGACUGAACAAUAUAAAACAAUGUAACUCACAAGUUAUUAAAGCACCAAAGAAAAAAUAAAGGAAACAUACCUUAAAACUCCACUAAACUCUUGCAUUAAAAGCCUGGAACUUCAUAUUACCCCCUUUAGAAAAAAAUAAUAAUAAUAAAGAGGGAAAAAUCUCACUACUUUUAGUCUAUGAUGAAGAUGGAACAGUCUGUAAGCUUCCUCCAUGAAGUGAAGAAGACUGUUACUUUCAGUUUAUAAUUCACUUAUGGGUUUGUAUGAAGAACAAAAUUGCAUCCAAUAAAUGUGGUAAAACACAUCUGUUUUGUGUUUUGAUAGUAAAUGUGCAUGACAAGAUGUUGUUAAGUAUGAUGGUAUAUUUUAUUAUCAAAAAUAUGGCUCUAGCUCAUAAGAAUCUAUGAAAUGUGUGGGAAAUUUGAACAACCCACUCUUGAGCAAUGAAGCGGCUACUCAUCCUUCUUUUCCCAUAUUUAUUUAUUCACUGUCAGUACAGCAAAGAGUUUUAGGACAAAUUCAUAGCUUUAGUUCACACAUAUGUAUUGACAUACAAGGUUGUAUUAACAGUAUUUCUGCUACCUCUAAAGAUCAGAAAUUCUCAGUUUUCUCUUACAGAAACAAUCUUAUGGCUACAUACACUAACAGUUUUAAAAGGAGACAUUACAAUUUGAAAUCUCCUGUUGAAUAACAGUAUUUCUCUGUUAAUAAGUGCUUGACUUUAUUCUUUAAGGGAUUUAAAUGAGCUAUCUUAUAAUGAAACAAUGGAAAAUCUAGGAUUGAAUAACAAGAACAUGGAAAGAAUAGAUGGCAUUCUCCACAUAGAGGAGGUGUUGAGUGGCAGACAGGCACAAUGAAAAAGACUGCUAGAUAUUACCAUCUAUUGGACUAAGUCUUCCUCCAAAUGUAGACAAAAUGAAACCCUCACAUCUUCAUAAAAGCACAACUCACGUACAUGUGGCCACUAUUGUCUCUGGGCACUAAGGCCUAGGCAUUGUGAGUGUGUGAGUUGUGCUUUGUGUGUGUGUGUGUGCGUGUGUGUGUGUGCGUGUGUGUGUGUGUGCGUGUGUGUGUGUGUGUGUGUGUGCGCGUGUGCUUUGUUUUGUCUGUGUUUGAUAAAGGACUUGUCUUUUUCAUUGUGCCUAUCCUAAAAUCAUGUGAAAAAAUUCUGUACAAGGCUUUCUUGUUUACUUUAGCUACCACUCUUACUAUCCUUUUUAUUUUAGCUAAUACAUAUUUCUGCUGUAGAUGUUCAUCCACAAGUAUAUCAAAAACUUGUAUUUAUUUGUACCAGUGGAGGUGUAAAUGAAGUAACAUUUAUGCAUUGAUGAAAAUAAAUAAAUGAAAUCCCAAACCAAGAAAUAAUUAAUGUAAAGUAAUAAAAUUUUGAGAAUAAAUUUUUCUGUGUAACCUG
rnacentral:misc_RNA from 1 species